rnacentral:rRNA from 1 species
UACGUAGGGGGCAAGCGUUGUCCGGAAUCAUUGGGCGUAAAGCGCGUGUAGGCGGCCCGGUAAGUCCGCUGUGAAAGUCCAGGGCUCAACCCUGGAAUGCCGGUGGAUACUGUCGGGCUCGAGUCCGGAAGAGGCGAGUGGAAUUCCUGGUGUAGCGGUGAAAUGCGUAGAUAUCUGGAGGAACACCGGUGGCGAAGGCGGCGUUCUGGACUGCAACUGACACUGAGGAACGAAAGCCAGGGGAGCAAACGGG